GGAUUUUGCUAUUUUCUCCAACAGUGGCUAGUUUUCUGUUUUGUUUUAGAAACUUAACCCUAAAUCUGUGGAAUCAGUUUCCCUUGCCAUAUGCUGCCCCUGAUAUCUCUGCUCAGUAAUCUUUAUAUCUUUCUUUUAAAGCUUGGCUUCCUUGUGGUCAUGCCUCCUUGUGAGAGUAAGCCAAUGACUCCUCAGAGAUUUUGCUCAAACUCUUUGCAGGAAGCCUUAUACUGGUAAUCACUGGAUCUGCAUGUAGGUUUCUUCAAAAUUUUGAAACUCUGAAAGGUCUUUCAACCUUACUCCAGCUUUCAUUUUCUGCUGGGUUCUCUUGCAUCUACUCUAUAUAGGUGUGUGACUCCCCAUUUAGCCAGGGACAUUCAGGUGGACUGGACUGCCAUAGGUCUCCCAGAGAACCACUGGAUUUCAAAGCCUGCCUCACAUGCUAGGACUAUUCUGCCAACCAAGCUGGCUGAAAGAGAACAGCUCCAGAAUAUGGAGGGAAUGAUGCUAUGUCAGACCUAAACCUUGAGAAGACCUAGCCUUCGUGUUUCCAGGAGGCCUAACCUACCAUAUAAAAUGUUUGUUUACCCUAUGAAUGACACCACACGGAAGAGGAAGAGACUCUGUGAUAACACCAAAUGAGAGGACAGACUGAGAAAUUUGUCAGUUACCCGAAGCACUGAAGUCAGGAAGCCAUCUAUACACAGACCUUUUCAUACCUGCUAAAGUAGCUGCCAAUAGAAAAAGUUCCGGUUUAAGAGUAAGCCAAGAUCCCAGGCUCCUAGGGCAGAGAGGGUGAGCCAGUCCCAGCACCCGGAAGGAAGCUCCCCCACCGCCAUCCCAUGCUCCCAGGGCAGUGAAGCUCAGCUGGUCCCAGCACCCGGGAGGAAGCUUCCCUGCUGCCAUCCCAAGCUCCUAGGGCAGAGAAGGUGAACUGCAUGGGUGUCAGAAGCAGCCCCCCCGCACCGGUGGAAAUGAGAAGACACAUAAACAAGCCUCAAAAACAGACUUCCGGAUCACCUACAGCAACCCUAAAAGGAAACGUGAUGGAACACUCUGAUACUCAACCACCUGGACUCUCUGAACUGGCAACAAAAGAGGAUCUGGGAAAAAUGAAAUCAGAAAUAAUUACUCAGAUACCAGCAAAGAUUUUGCUCACGGUGCAAGACAUGAUUAAUAAAUCUAGAGGACACAGAUAAAAAAAUAGAGGAUCUGGGGAAUAUGAUGGAAUCCCAACAUAGGAAACAAAUGGAAUCCAUAAAACAGAUACAAACAGAUUUCCAAGAGAUUAAAAACUCCAUGGAAAGUCUGCACAGCAGAAUGAACCAAUGUGAGGAUAGAAUUUCACAUAUAGAAGAUAAGAUUGCAAUUAGUGAGGAGGAAAAGAAAAGUUGCUUUAAAAUUGUAAGGGAACAUGAGGAAUCAAUCCAGCAGCUGCUAGACGAUGCAAAGAAGAAUAACAUAAGACUGAUUGGAGUCAAUGAAGAAACAGGAGAGAGUGCAGAUGACAUAAAAAAACUGUUCACAGAAGUGAUAGCAGAAAACUUCCCAAGCAAGGGAAAAGAACUUGACAUACAGAUAAGUGAGGCAUAUAGGACUCCAGCUAGCCUUAAUCAAAAAAAUCUACACAUAGGCAUAUAAUAGUUAGGAUUCCAGAAAUCCAAAAGAAGAAUAAAAUUCUACAAGCAGUGAGAGAAAAGAAACAAAUGACAUACAAAGGAAAGCCCAUCAGAAUCACAGCAGACUUCUCAAUGCAAACCCUCAAGGCAAGAAGAGCUUGGAGUGAUGUAUUUCAAGCCCUAAAGGAAAACAGCCUCCAACCCAGAUUGAUGUACCCUGCAAAACUAUCUUUCAAAAUUGAUGGAGAAAUAAGAUACUUUCAUGAUAAAGAGCACCUCAGGAACUUCAUGAAUACCAAACUGGCACUCCAAAAAAUUUUAGACAAUACCCUAGGAAAAGACAAUGAGGAUCACAACCCCAGGAAACCCAGCAGAAUGAAUCCAUUGAGUGUGACAAA
ensembl:lncRNA